rnacentral:rRNA from 1 species
ACGGGAGGCAGCAGUGGGGAAUAUUGCACAAUGGGGGAAACCCUGAUGCAGCGACGCCGCGUGAAGGAAGAAGUAUCUCGGUAUGUAAACUUCUAUCAGCAGGGAAGAUAAUGACGGUACCUGACUAAGAAGCCCCGGCUAACUACGUGCCAGCAGCCGCGGUAAUACGGAAGGUCCGAGCGUUAUCCGGAUUUAUUGGGUUUAAAGGGAGCGCAGGCGGAGAGGCAAGCCAGCCGUAAAAUCGUUGAGCUCAACUCAAUCUCGCGGUUGGAACUGCUUCCCUUGAGUGCACGAGAGGAUGGUGGAAUUCGUGGUGUAGCGGUGAAAUGCAUAGAUAUCACGAAGAACUCCGAUUGCGAAGGCAGCCAUCUGGCGUGUUACUGACGCUCAUGCUCGAAGGCGCGGGUAUCAAACAGGAUUAGAUACCCUGGUA